GUUUGAUCCUGGCUCAGAUUGAACGCUGGCGGCAUGCUUUACACAUGCAAGUCGAACGGGGUGAGGGGGCAACUUCUCAUUCAGUGGCGAACGGGUGAGUAAUGCAUCGGAACGUGUCCCGUAGUGGGGGAUAACGCCGCGAAAGCGGCGCUAAUACCGCAUACGCUCUACGGAGGAAAGCAGGGGACCCGCAAGGGCCUUGUGCCAGGGGAGCGGCCGAUGUCCGAUUAGCUAGUUGGUGGGGUAAUGGCUUACCAAGGCGACGAUCGGUAGCUGGUCUGAGAGGAUGAUCAGCCACACUGGGACUGAGACACGGCCCAGACUCCUACGGGAGGCAACAGUGGGGAAUUUUGGACAAUGGGGGCAACCCUGAUCCAGCCAUGCCGCGUGCGGGAAGAGGGCCUUCGGGUUGUAAACCGCUUUUAGCCGGGACGAAAGCUGUACGGAUAACACCCGUGCGGGUUGACGGUACCGGCGGAAUAAGCACCGGCUAACUACGUGCCAGCAGCCGCGGUAAUCCCUGUGU
rnacentral:rRNA from 1 species